UGGGGGGCAAGGACGUGACACCGGGGUCACGCGUCGGUCAGCUGGUCGUGGAAGACCCCGACGGAGACGACCUGACCUUCCGACUCAGAAAUGCAACAGUUCCCUUUGAUGUGGAUAAUGACACCGGGGUUAUUCGAGUCUCUUCGCCAUUGGAUGAAACAGAACAAUCCAAAUACAGCCUUGGUAUCGACAUUACCGACGGAACGCACCUAACGACAUCUAUUAUCGACAUCUUAAUCGUACCAGAAAACGCGGAAGAAUCAUUCGAGAGCGCAUCACUAGCGUUCAAUGUAACGGAAAAUCUCAGCAACAUCACUGUCGGCAUGCUUCUUGACGAAGAUGAACGUCCUGUAGAGUUCUUGGAAGCAAAAAUUUUGAAUCCAUCGCUAAACGACACGUUUCAAGUAACCUCCGAAGCAGAACUUCGGCUGAUAAAGUCGUUGGAUUUUGAGGAGCAUCGUCAGCUCUCAUUCACCGUCGUCCUACAG